rnacentral:rRNA from 1 species
AAUCAACGCUGGCGGCGUGCCUCAGACAUGCAAGUCGAACGAUUAAACUUUCCUUCGGGAAAGAUAUAAAGUGGCGCACGGGUGAGUAACACGUAAGUAAUCUACCUUCGAGUGGGGAAUAACGUUCGGAAACGAACGCUGACACCGCAUAAUGCAGCGGCACCUAAUGGUGACAGUUGUUAAAGGAGCAAUUCGCUUGAAGAGGAGCUUGCGGCAGAUUAGCUAGNGGUAAGGUAACGGCUUACCAAGGCUACGAUCUGUAACCGGUCUAAGAGGACGGUCGGUCACACUGACACUGAAUAACGGGUCAGACUCCUACGGGAGGCAGCAGUCGGGAAUUUUGGGCAAUGGGCGAAAGCCUGACCCAGCAACGCCGCGUGAAGGAUGAAGUAUUUCGGUAU